AUCCAAUUGGGAUGGGAUGCCUUCCCUGCUAGCAACAGCAUCAGAAAAGGCAUAACUAACAAUCCAAGGUGCCAAUUGCUGCUAGGAGUCUCCAUGGUCCCUCCUGGCCUUCUUGGGCGGCAAGGCACAGGCGCCGGCGACCGUGUCACGGAGCUGGCGCUGAGCGUCCUGCAGCAUCCUGGCGUGGCGGGCGUCCGCCUCCUGCCACCCUCGCUCGAUCUCCCACUGCACCUCCAUGCGCCGCCUCUCCAGCCGCAUGACACCCUCGCCGAAAUCCCUCAGCACAGCCGACAGCUGUGCGACGGGCCGCCCAGAGGAGCCGCGGCGGCGGGCCAUCUCCAUGGCCUCCUCUUCGUCGUCCUUGGCCUUGACCGCCGCGGCGGCGGCUUUGGCCUGGAACGCCUCAUAGGCCACCCUCUUGCGCGGGGGCGCGAUGGACGGCGUGAUGGAAGGCGGCGGCGGGUGGAGCUGCAGCUGCGGGUGGCGCGGGGCAAGGCCGGUGCCGAAUUCCCGGAUGAUGCCGUUGAUGCUCCGGGUGUUGUUGUUGCGUGGGGCGAGUUCUUCCUCCUCCUCGUUUUCCUCCUGCACGUCUUCUUCCUCUUCCUCUUCCUCCACCUCCUCUUCUUCCUCCUCUCCUUCUUCGUCGCCGUCGGCGGCAGGCGGAGAACCAGUCGCGGCCGGGUAGGCGGAAGACGCGACGGCGAGUGGCCCCCGUUCGAGGCGAUCCAUGCGGCGGAAGUAGGGCCAGAGCGAGGUGACGGGGCGGGCGCCCUCGGUGCGGUAGCGCUUGCGGAGCUUCUCGAGCUUGUGGCGGCACUGGGUGCCCGUCUUGCGCUGGGCGACGACCCCAGGGGUGGCAGCGCAGCGGGCGGCGACCUCGGCCGCCACCUCCUCCCACUGGUGCGCCUUGAGCUGGCCGCGGCGCAGCGCCGUCCAGCGCUCCUCGUACGCGUCGAUGAGGUGCGUGGUCUCGACGUGCGACCAGGGCUGCGCCGGCGCGCUCUUCCUCGCUAGCGGCGGCGGGGGAGGCUCCUCGGCCAUCGUAUGCCUGUCUACCCGCGGCCUCGGUCACGGGAGGCUCAGAUCUAGAUCUGGGGGCGGGCGGCGAUAAGGGUGGGGGUGAGGACGAGUAGUUGGGGGGCGGGGGCGGCGGCGGUGGAGGAGGAUAAGGCGGGGGCUGGGUAUGGGUGGUGGGCGGUUAGGUUUUUUCUGGGCGGUGGGGGCUGGAUGUGCCAUCGGACGGGCGGGCGGCGGCGGGUGGUGGCGGCGGUGCGGUUCACGUGGACGCGAGCGGCGCGCGGGCGCGGUGGCUACCACCUACCAGUACCAGUGCCAGACUGCCAGGUUCACUCGCACGCAAACGAGACGCGGAAAGGAUCGGUGGACUCUGAAACCAUAGAAGGCCAGGCCGGUGUUGGGUGGUGGCGCCGGCCCAACUUUGGAAGGACAGCGGGAGAGAGGCCUGCUACUUCUACAGCUCAAUUAGGCUUCGCAAUCUGCUUUUACAAAACAAAAAAAAACAAGGACAUGUUAAUUCAUACUAGCUACUUUGUCCUAAAAGCUACUUUUCCUCUGGC
rnacentral:misc_RNA from 1 species